rnacentral:sRNA from 36 species
GCACCUCAUAAAACGGGUGCCGGGAUUGGCGUCCUGGGCAAAACUGAAGCGCAUAACACGCGCCCCGCGUGUUUUUU